AGGAGCAACCAUAUCAGCACUAAUGCACGGGAUUCCAUCAGAACUUCGAAGUUAAGUAUGCUUGAGCGAGAAUAGUUCUAAGAUGGGCUUGUCUUAUGACUU
rnacentral:rRNA from 1 species